rnacentral:rRNA from 1 species
GAUGAACGCUGGCGGCGUGCCUAAUACAUGCAAGUCGAACGAAACUUCUUUAUCACCGAGUGCUUGCACUCACCGAUAAAGAGUUGAGUGGCGAACGGGUGAGUAACACGUGGGCAACCUGCCCAAAAGAGGGGGAUAACACUUGGAAACAGGUGCUAAUACCGCAUAACCAUAGUUACCGCAUGGUAACUAUGUAAAAGGUGGCUAUACUACCGCUUUUUGAUGGGCCCGCGGCGCAUUAGCUAGUUGGUAGGGUAAAGGCUUACCAAGGCAAUGAUGCGUAGCCGAAUUGAGAGGUUGAUCGGCCACAUUGGGACUGAGACACGGCCCAAACUCCUACGGGAGGCAGCAGUAGGGAAUCUUCCACAAUGGGCGAAAGCCUGAUGGAGCAACGCCGCGUGGGUGAAGAAGGUCUUCGGAUCGUAAAACCCUGUUGUUAGAGAAGAAAGUGCGUGAGAGUAACUGUUCACGUUUCGACGGUAUCUAACCAGAAAGCCACUGCUAACUACGUG